rnacentral:rRNA from 1 species
AUUGAACGCUGGCGGCAGGCCUAACACAUGCAAGUCGAACGCGUGGCGGACGGGUGAGUAAUGUCUGGGCAACUGCCUGCUGGCGGGGGAUAACUACUGGAAACGGUAGCUACUACCGCAUACCAUCAGAUGUGCCCCGAUGGGAUUAGCUAGUUGGUUGGGUAACGGCUCACCAGGGCGACGAUCCCUAGCUGGUCUGAGAGGAUGACCAGCCACACUGGAACUGAGACACGGUCCAGACUCCUACGGGAGGCAGCAGUGGGGAAUAUUGCACAAUGGGCGCAAGCCUGAUGCAGCCAUUCCGCGUGUAUGAAGAAGGCCUUCGGGUUGUAAAGUACUUUCAGCGGGGAGGCGUUACCCGCAGAAGAAGCACCGGCUAACUCCGUGCCAGCCGCCGCGGUAAUUC